CUGGGUGAAGGUUUUUUCUUUGGGAAGUUGUGUUCUAUGGUCAGAGACUCUUAUAACUGGUUGGGUCAAGAUCAGUCUAGUCUGAAGAAUUACUUCCUGUCACCAUUGAACAAAACAAUUUUUGCUUUGUAUCUAUUAAUUCCAGUCUCUACAGUGAUGUAGAAGGAAAGUAUUUGCUCCUUUAGAAGUGUCUGUUCAAGGGCCUUUUGCAGUGUGACAAGUGAUGAGAAGUAAGGGAUCCAGCAGCGGGAACCAAAUCUGAUAGUUACACAUGGGAGGAAACGUCUAGAUAGAAACCUGGUCAGUGGAACUAACUGUGUCUGUGUGCUAUGCAAGGGCUGUGUGCCACGUACUUGUGAAACUCGUGUGUGAUUGAAGACUGGUACCAGCUCUAAAGUAGCAAGGAUCUAUGGGAGACCAUGGAGUCUUCUAUUACCAACUACAAUGGCAGGAACGGAGUGUGUUCCCAUUACCAACUACAGAGAUUUUUUGGAUGUUCCAGAGAAUUUCAGAUGGCAUCAGAUGAUCAGGAGCAUGCAUUCAGUUCAAGAGGAGAUAAAAAGAAACAAAACUUACCUGAUAUGAAGAGGUAGUGCUUUCAGCUCUCAAGAACUGAAGACAGAACUCACGUUCACCAAAAAAGAUCGUGUGUUUAAAGCUAUGCUACAGUUAUGCCAAGUUGUAUUUUAGUAGGAUGUCAGAAAGUAAACAAUCAUGAUUUUAUUACUGCCAAAUAUUUUAUAAAGACCUGAUAAUGUAAACAUUAGUUUCACUAGAAAAAGCAUAAGAGUAAGACAUACAAAAAGUAACAAUUUAUAAAAUAUAUAUAUAAUGCCAUGGAUGACCUAUACAGGUGAUUGUAAGUUGGAUUCUAACUGAUGUUCUACAGUAUGGAUGUCUUCAAAGACAGAGUCCUCUCCAGGAAAUGCAUAGGACUCACCCUCUCCCAUCAGUUUACAGACAUUGGUGUCUGCAGGCCUGCUUCUCACCUUUUUUUUUUUUUCCUUUGCUCCUCUCUCUGUCAACUGCUGUGUAUUAUUUUUAUCUUUUCUUUUAUACAUUUCCUCUCAAGCUGCUACCAUCUUAGCUGCUGGACCCAACUGUGUGGUGGAGCUGUUGGAGUCGGCUGUAUGUUUUAAGAAUACAUUUCAUCUCAGUAUCAGUGUCUUAAAUAGAAAUUACAGUAUACCUAAUGGAGCUAACUUUCAGUACACAGCUUUUUACCUCUUCCUGACUUCAAUAAAUUGGUCUUUUUCUAUAUGUUUAUGAAUUUCCGGCCUAUGCCAACUCCGAUUUUUAUUGGAUUUAUUCACGUUUAAUUCAAAAGUCAAGUGAUCUAGGUGUAUAAUGUGUACUGACUAGAAAAAGUAACAACUGAUUACUAAAUUUGAACAUUCCCUCUGGCUUCUAAAUUUGAUUUUUCUUAUUUGUUACUAAGAUCAGUGAUUUAGAAAAGCUUUUCUUCAGUGGUCCCUCAUAGGCCUGGUUUUCCUCUCUUCCUCAGACCUGUUGGGUCUUUUUUAUGCUCUGAGUGCAUCUUCCAGAGCUAGUGUCUCUCUACGUGUCAUACCCUUUUCUUUUGAAAAAUACAGAGCCAGUAGUUUAAUAAGGGGCUGCCACUCUUAGCUUUUAUACUUAAGGUUGAUGUUUUCACCUACAGCACAAUUAAGUCUCUGUCAGCUGGGGAAUAUGGUGAGAAGGACACAGUAUUUCCAAAAUGAAAUUACUUUCUCACUCUGUCUUCUAUUAUCUCUCUCUACUUUUUCAGACUUAUGUUCUCUUAAGCUGUCCAGAAACUAAAAUAAUUUAUUUAUACCAUGUAUAUUUCUAUAUCUACUAUAUAUAUAAAAUAUUAUGUAUCUGUCACCAUGAUAAUAAAUGUAACAAGAUUUUUUUUUUGUUUAAGAGGCAUUUCUUUUAGUAUUUUGAAUUGGAGGCAUAAAUGCAUACAUAUAGUGCUCUUCUCUGAAAAUUAAACAUUGAUAAGGUUUCUGUUUGAAUAGCUUAACAAAUGUUAUAUGGAUUAAAGAAAGCAUUAAAGAAACUGUGAAAGGACAUAGACAUUAAGUGUGCAGCACAAUACAGAAGAAAGGGGGAAUGUUAAGUUAUAUGACUAUCUUUCAGCCUAUCAAUUUAUAACAUUUUCACAGGAAAAAAUGCUAAUAAAGAAGAAAGGAUUGUUAAUCCACCAAACUUUUAUCUAGGUAGUGCUAUGCAAAAUUUAUGUCCAAAUUCAGUAUUUACAUAAAUGUACUAUUAAUAACAAGAAUGAAUUAAUAUUCUGUGAUGAAUUUAGAAAAGUCACUACUUUGUUAGAAACUGUUGUUGUUGUUAGGCCAAUCUUUCAAAAAUAAUUAUUAUAUUAUUGCUGCUGAAGCUGAGGUUAGUAUUGGUGUUUCUUUGAACAUCUUUUUAAUGUAUUCUGUGAGCAUAGAUCACUAUCCUUAGAAAAACAAAACAAAAAAAUAAAACACAAAUUGUGAGAUUAGUUUAAGGAUUCUAAUUGAAAUCCUCAACCUAGUAAACAGUUCCUACAAUUUGCUGAAGUUUCUCUUCUGAAAUAUGAAACCUCUAUUACACACAGUACUUUGCUUAGCCUUUUUUUUUUUUUUAUAUUUGGCUACUGGGAAUUUUUUGAACAUGACCUAAUAACUGUCCUUACUCUCAGAGGAGAUUGAGUCAUUAAAGCUAUAAAGUAUUUAGCUCACUACUACUCCAGAGAAGAUGCUGAAAUGAGCCACAACCUGAGCACACUGAUCUGCUUCCAGUACCAGUGCUUUCAGCUAAUUCAUAUAAUACAGUAAUACAUCAACUCUUAGCCCAGAGGAAUGUAGGUCUCUUGUUAUUGUGGCAUAGCCGGAAAAAAAAAAAGAGAGGGAAGGAAAGGAGUGAACACAAGUAUUUUGCAUAGUUAUAUCACUUGCAAAAUAUUUCACAUAUUUUGUAUGGUGCAUAGAUGUUACUGAAAACAAAAAUGAAAGUUGCUGAUUUUUACUUUUUAAGAACAGAUUGAUUUUGUCCUGUGAAGAGAAAAAGGGAUUCACGGAUUAAAUUGGAAAUGUCUUCUUAAUGUAGCUGUUUAAUAAGAACUGUAAUGUACUUAGUAG